rnacentral:rRNA from 1 species
UACGUAGGGUGCGAGCGUUGUCCGGAAUUAUUGGGCGUAAAGAGCUCGUAGGCGGUGUGUCACGUCGGCCGUGGAAACCUGCAGCUUAACUGUGGGCGUGCGGUCGAUACGGGCAUCACUGGAGUUCGGCAGGGGAGACUGGAAUUCCUGGUGUAGCGGUGAAAUGCGCAGAUAUCAGGAGGAACACCGGUGGCGAAGGCGGGUCUCUGGGCCGAUACUGACACUGAGGAGCGAAAGCGUGGGGAGCGAACAGG